rnacentral:rRNA from 1 species
GACGAACGCUGGCGGCGUGCUUAACACAUGCAAGUCGAACGGUAAGGCCCUUCGGGGUACACGAGUGGCGAACGGGUGAGUAACACGUGGGUGAUCUGCCCUGCACUUCGGGAUAAGCCUGGGAAACUGGGUCUAAUACCGGAUAGGACUCCGGACUGCAUGGUCUGGGGUGGAAAGCUUUUGCGGUGUGGGAUGGGCCCGCGGCCUAUCAGCUUGUUGGUGGGGUGAUGGCCUACCAAGGCGACGACGGGUAGCCGGCCGGAGAGGGUGACCGGCCACACUGGGACUGGGAUGCGGCCCAGGCUCCUACGGGAGGCAGCAGUGGGGAAUAUUGCACAAUGGGCGCAAGCCUGAUGCAGCGACGCCGCGUGGGGGAUGACGGCCUUCGGGUUGUAAACCUCUUUCAGCACAGACGAAGCGCAAGUGACGGUAUGUGCAGAAGAAGGACCGGCCAACUACGUGCCAGCCGCCGCCGUAA